rnacentral:rRNA from 1 species
UACGGAGGAUGCAAGCGUUAUCCGGAAUGAUUGGGCGUAAAGCGUCCGUAGGUGGCGAUUCAAGUCUGCUGUUAAAGCGCAGGGCUUAACCCUGUAAAGGCGGUGGAAACUGGAGAGCUAGAGUGUGGUAGGGGUAGAGGGAAUUCCCGGUGUAGCGGUGAAAUGCGUAGAGAUCGGGAGGAACACCAGUGGCGAAGGCGGCUACCUGGACCAGCACUGACACUGAGGCACGAAAGCGUGGGGAGCAAACAGG